GAUGAACGCUGGCGGCGUGCCUAAUACAUGCAAGUCGAGCGAAUGGAUUAAGAGCUUGCUCUUAUGAAGUUAGCGGCGGACGGGUGAGUAACACGUGGGUAACCUGCCCAUAAGACUGGGAUAACUCCGGGAAACCGGGGCUAAUACCGGAUAAUAUUUUGAACUGCAUGGUUCAAAAUUGAAAGGCGGCUUCGGCUGUCACUUAUGGAUGGACCCGCGUCGCAUUAGCUAGUUGGUGAGGUAACGGCUCAACAAGGCGACGAUGCGUAGCCGACCUGGGAGGGUGAUCGGCCACACUGGGACUGAGACACGGCCCAGACUCCUACGGGAGGCAGCAGUAGGGAAUCUUCCGCAAUGGACGAAAGUCUGACGGAGCAACGCCGCGUGAGUGAUGAAGGCUUUCGGGUCGUAAAACUCUGUUGUUAGGGAAGAACAAGUGCUAGUUGAAUAAGCUGGCACCUUGACGGUACCUAACCAGAAAGCCACGGCUAACUACGUGCCAGCCGCCGCAGUAA
rnacentral:rRNA from 1 species